rnacentral:rRNA from 1 species
UACGUAGGGGGCAAGCGUUAUCCGGAUUCACUGGGUGUAAAGGGAGCGUAGACGGCGACGCAAGUCUGGAGUGAAAGCCCGGGGCCCAACCCCGGGACUGCUCUGGAAACUGCGGCGCUGGAGUACGGGAGGGGCAGGCGGAAUUCCUGGUGUAGCGGUGAAAUGCGUAGAUAUCAGGAGGAACACCGGCGGCGAAGGUGGCCUGCUGGACCGUGACUGACGUUGAGGCUCGAGAGCGUGGGGAGCAAACAGG